rnacentral:rRNA from 1 species
GAUGAACGCUGGCGGCGUGCCUAAUACAUGCAAGUCGAGCGAACGGACGAGAAGCUUGCUUCUCUGAUGUUAGCGGCGGACGGGUGAGUAACACGUGGAUAACCUACCUAUAAGACUGGGAUAACUUCGGGAAACCGGAGCUAAUACCGGAUAAUAUUUUGAACCGCAUGGUUCAAAAGUGAAAGACGGUCUUGCUGUCACUUAUAGAUGGAUCCGCGCUGCAUUAGCUAGUUGGUAAGGUAACGGCUUACCAAGGCAACGAUGCAUAGCCGACCUGAGAGGGUGAUCGGCCACACUGGAACUGAGACACGGUCCAGACUCCUACGGGAGGCAGCAGUAGGGAAUCUUCCGCAAUGGGCGAAAGCCUGACGGAGCAACGCCGCGUGAGUGAUGAAGGUCUUCGGAUCGUAAAACUCUGUUAUUAGGGAAGAACAUAUGUGUAAGUAACUGUGCACAUCUUGACGGUACCUAAUCAGAAAGCCACGGCUAACUACGUGCCAGCAGCCGCGGUAAUACGUAGGUGGCAAGCGUUAUCCGGAAUUAUUGGGCGUAAAGCGCGCGUAGGCGGUUUUUUAAGUCUGAUGUGAAAGCCCACGGCUCAACCGUGGAGGGUCAUUGGAAACUGGAAAACUUGAGUGCAGAAGAGGAAAGUGGAAUUCCAUGUGUAGCGGUGAAAUGCGCAGAGAUAUGGAGGAACACCAGUGGCGAAGGCGACUUUCUGGACUGUAACUGACGCUGAUGUGCGAAAGCGUGGGGAUCAAACAGGAUUAGAUACCCUGGUAGUCCACGCCGUAAACGAUGAGUGCUAAGUGUUAGGGGGUUUCCGCCCCUUAGUGCUGCAGCUAACGCAUUAAGCACUCCGCCUGGGGAGUACGACCGCAAGGUUGAAACUCAAAGGAAUUGACGGGGACCCGCACAAGCGGUGGAGCAUGUGGUUUAAUUCGAAGCAACGCGAAGAACCUUACCAAAUCUUGACAUCCUUUGACAACUCUAGAGAUAGAGCCUUCCCCUUCGGGGGACAAAGUGACAGGUGGUGCAUGGUUGUCGUCAGCUCGUGUCGUGAGAUGUUGGGUUAAGUCCCGCAACGAGCGCAACCCUUAAGCUUAGUUGCCAUCAUUAAGUUGGGCACUCUAAGUUGACUGCCGGUGACAAACCGGAGGAAGGUGGGGAUGACGUCAAAUCAUCAUGCCCCUUAUGAUUUGGGCUACACACGUGCUACAAUGGACAAUACAAAGGGCAGCGAAACCGCGAGGUCAAGCAAAUCCCAUAAAGUUGUUCUCAGUUCGGAUUGUAGUCUGCAACUCGACUACAUGAAGCUGGAAUCGCUAGUAAUCGUAGAUCAGCAUGCUACGGUGAAUACGUUCCCGGGUCU